UACGUAGGGGGCAAGCGUUGUCCGGAUUUAUUGGGCGUAAAGAGCGUGUAGGCGGCCUGGUAGGUCAGCUGUGAAAACUCGAGGCUCAACCUCGAGACGCCGGUUGAAACCAUCUGGCUAGAGUCCGGAAGAGGAGAAUGGAAUUCCCGGUGUAGCGGUGAAAUGCGCAGAUAUCGGGAAGAACACCCGUGGCGAAGGCGGUUCGCUGGGACGGUACUGACGCUGAGACGCGAAAGCGUGGGGAGCGAACAGG
rnacentral:rRNA from 1 species